rnacentral:lncRNA from 1 species
CCAGGCUAGGGAUCUAAUCGGAGCUACAGCUCCCAGCCUAUGCCACAGCCACAGCCACGCCAUAUCUGAGCCUUGUCUGUAACCUAUACCACAGCUCAUGGCAACGCUGGAUCCUUAACCCACUGAGCAAGGCCAGGGGUCGAACCUGCAACCUUAUGGUUCCUAGUCGGAUUCGUUUCCACUGCCACAGCGGGAACUCCUUAAAUGUCUUCUGAAUUUUACAGUUGGUUGCCAAAAUGAACUUUAGUUUAUGGUCAGUUUCUGAUUAAUUCCUGCUAUUUGCAGUUUUAAAAAUACUUAUAUUUUAAACCGUGGUAGUUCUAAGUGUUGGUCAUGUUUAAACUAUAUCCUAUUCAGUAUAGAUAACUAAAGAUUAUUUUACUUAUGGAUUUUAAUUGUAGACCCCAAAAAAUCUUCCCACAGAAAGGAGAAUUUAGAAAAAUUUUAAUAGUGUUCCAUUGAUUUGUAUUUUAUGCAGAUUAUAAACUUCUCUAAGUAUCCACAAAUAAUACAAAUAGUUAUACUCAAAAUAUUUUGAGACGGAUUAUUUCAUAUGUAUAUAAUUAAGGUAAACAGAUCUUUAUGCAUGGUGUUUUUGUUGGUGAUAGGGAAGAUGAUAUGAAGAGGAUAAAGGGUACAUCAUGAUGGGUUCUGUUUUUACUUUGGUUGGUAACUCCAAAAUCAUGUCUCAGUCUCCCAUCAUUAACCCACACCUCAGCCCUGCAUUUCUAGCUGUCCAUUGGGCAUGCACCUGAGUGAUCCCCUGAAAACUAAAACUACUAUUUCUUUCUUUCUACCGACUUUUUGUUUUCCUCCUCAGAUUUUCUAGUCUCUUAAUAUUCUAGUCUCCUGGUCAUUUAGUGGAAAAUGGUUUGACCUUUUCUUAUCACCUAAGCUUAUUGUUUAAUCAUUUUUAGAGAGGGAGUUCCCUGGUGACUCAAUGGAUUAAGGAUCUGGUUUUGUCACUGAUGUGGCUUGGGUUUGAUCCCUGGCCUUGAAAUUUCCUCAUGCCGUGGGCAUGGCCAAAAAAUUUAAAAAAAAAUUUUUUUUUAAUUAAAAAGAAAAAUCUGAAAAGCAUCUUUAAUUUUCUGUGUGCACCAGGCUAUAAUGCCAUGUCCUUGACAGUGUGUUGGCAGUAUGAAUGACUAGAUGAAUUUUUAAAAAUUUUAGUUCUGUAUAGAUCAGUAACCUCAGUCUAAAUAUCUGGUGCCCCAUGAUGAAGCCACAUCUGUAGGUGGACACUUGAGGUCUUUUACAGUCUGACCAGUUUCUUUCUGCCUGCUUUCAUCUCGAUUCCUCCACUUGCUUUUAUGAACCCUGAUUAUCUCCAGCUAGCUGAAUCCUUCAAAAUCCAGGCCAAAUUCCAUCUCUAUCUUUACAUCUUCCUAGAACUGGAAAAUUCCAUUCUUUGAGCUCAUUGUUGGUUCCUAUGUGCAGUUCAUUUUGUAUCGCCUUUUGAGUUUGGGGGUAAGUUUUGCCUUGAGAUGACAUUUAAUUCUUUUAUUUGUUUUGAACAGUAGACAUCUGAUAUAUUUGUCCUGUAGUGCUGAUUCAGGUUGAGAGUUGCAGUUUCACAAUUUGUAAUGCGAACAAUUCUCAUUUCACCUCUUAAGAUAUUCCCAAGCUAAACUAUAAAUUAUAAAUAGGCAUGCCAUUAAGUUUAGCUUAAAACUCAGAUAUUCAGUAUCAAGAGAGUUACACUGAAGAUAACAAUUAAUAGUUCUGGCCUAAGACUCCCCUGAGGAGAAGCUGAUACCCCAGUUUAAGAACCAUGCUGCUAAAGUGUAGAAAUCAACUGAAGGCCACUGGUACCAUCAUUAAAAGUCAUAUUUUAAAGGAAAUUUAAUAAUAGGAAAAGCUUAUAAAUAUAAUACCUACUAAAAAUAUAGAACUCAAAACUGUAUAUAGUGUGAUCCUAACGAUUCUGAAAUAAACAUGUAAUAUUCUAUAUGCAUGGGAAAAGAUCAGAAAGUAUUAAACCAAAUGCUAGGAAUCAUUUCUAAAUGUGGUUGAAUUAUUUCUCUUUUUUGUUACAUACUUUUCAGAACUUCUUAAGCUCAUUACAACAGGCAUAUAUUACUGUUGUUUAUUAGGGGGAAGAAAACCCUAUGUCUACUAGAAACCAGCUCUUAUUCUACUUAGUCUUUUUUCAUGACUUCCAUAAUGUAUAAUGCUCCAAUGGAAGAUUGGAUAAAAAGGCAUCUUUCACAAGGAAGGGCAUUAUGUAAUGAUCUCUUCAUGAAAAUGUAGCUGAGUAUUGUGCACAAAAGCAAUGAACUCCUUAAGAGUGCUUUGUGCAACCAGUUCUUUACAUCUCUAGGACUCAGGGGCCGCCCUGGCAAUUCUCUAAGGUCAGCUAACCACAUUAUUAGAAGAGUAGUGGUUAGCAAGAUGGUAUCUUUCUUUGUUUUUAAGACAUUUAUUUAAUACGUGAUUCCUUUAGAGAGUUAUGUAGAGUAGCCUUGACAGCACUUUUAGCUCUCCCUGAAACAUGAAUCUCUUUCAUUUAAAAAUCCUUCUGUGAGCAGUUUCAGAGUUUGUCUUUUAAAAUACAAUUCUAAAGUGCUUUACCAGGAAGUCACUAGUGCUUUCCCUCCCCACCCAUGUUCCCAAGCCCUCGUUUCUUCAAACCAAUGAACAUUUUUAAAACUGCUUAGGUUUUCCUAAUUUUAAGUCUUCUGAGGUAGAAUUGGGAGGGGACCUUUGAGAUCACCAAGUCCCCACCUGUGCCGAGUAACUGUAUCAAGAGACUCAAGCUUGAAAAUGAAGUCACCACUGGGAAAUACUGCAGUGUAAGGUAGCAUUAUGUUUGCAGACCUUUUUUUAUGUUGACAUCUAUUACUCUUCCUUCUUCCUUGCUCUUUCAUGUAGAACAGUGGCAGCCUUUCUUAUAGAAGACUGUCCUCCCAUUUCUCCCUAAUCUUCUCUCCAAACCUAAUGCCUUCAACAUACUUUCCAGGGUUACCAUCCUCGUGGCCCUUCUCUGGACAAAUUGGCCUUGAAGGGUUGUGUCCUGUAGUCAAAGGUGCUGCUGUAGUACCUUUACUUGUUCUUAAUCUGAACCUCAUCAAUGCAAUGGCAAACACAUUGAUAAAAGUACUCCUACUACUAAUAAACCACUUAGUGAACACUAUUUACUAUGUGCUAGGACACCGUGCUAAAUACUUUAAAUAAAUAUCACUUAAUCUUAACAGUUUGGUUAAUUUUAACAGUUCCAGUAGAUUCUAAUUUUUAUUUCCAUGUCAAAGAUGAGAAAUAAAUGAAAUAAAUAAUUCAUCAGUGGUCAGUCAUCUGAUAAGUAGUGGAGCUAGGAAUUUGAAGCUAGAUCUCAUUCUGGUUCUGAGUUGUUGCACUUUGUUAAAAUUGAAAAAUUCAGUCAAACAGUAUUAGUAAUUUUGGGGGCAAGUGGGCAAUAAAAUAACCCAUAAGGCCACCUAACAUCUGUUUUUAUGCUCCCCCAAAGUUGCCUCAUGGUAUAUUUGACUCAUAUCAUAGUGUAUUAAAAUUCUUUUUCUGUCUCCCUCCUAUUCAAUAUCUUUGAUUUCUUAUUUAUCUUUCUUGAUAGUGCUUAUCAUGUAUAAGACAUCCCAGAACCUAAUAAUUUGUCAGUAAUUAGUGAAUAAACUUUUACAUAUGACUUGCCAGUCCUGGACUACAUGGGUACAUGUUUCAUGUAUCUACGAUCAGUGUAUAUACUGUUUUGCAUUCCUGCUUCUUGUAACAUCCUUGUGCAGGUUUUAUGUAGGCAUAAGUUUUCAACUUCUUUGGGUAAGUACCAGUGAGCAUGAUUGUUGGAUCAAAUAGUAAGCAUAUGUUUAAUUUUAUAAGAAAUUGCCAAACU